UCGUUGUUCAAAGUGUACCGAUCUUGGUUGAGUGCGGUUCCGGUUUUUGAGGGUUAAGCAGGUUGUUCGUCGAAGGAAGUAACAUAAAUUCAGCAUAAAUCAUGUACUGAGGCCAAAAUAUGUCGCCAGCAGUGUUUCUAGACCCAUGCUUAGGUAGUACUGAUAUAUAUCAUGUGACUGUGCUGUGGUAAAUACUUUUGGUGGUGAUAUGGUAUAAUCAGUGCUGCUAAGAGUUUUGUUACUGGGUAUAAUUGGAGUUGAGGUAAAACAAUGGGAUCAGAACACAGUUCCCAGCAGGGACCUGUUUCAUCUGGUGGGAACCGAGUAAAUCUGCAGAGAGGCAAGUCGGUUCCAGAGAGAGAUAAUGGACCAGAGAGUGGGGAGGGAAUGAGACCUGGGAGCAUCUCACCUGGUCCUAGUGUAUGUUCGGAUUCAGACCUGCCGUAUAUCUCAUACACUGUCAACAGACCUAUAGGAGAUUCUCCGAAAUUACCAAUUAAGCAUGGAAGUCACUUGCAGCGUGGCAAGUCUCUGGGUUCCAACAGCCGAAAGAGUGGUGGGACAAUUCCCAAAAGGCAGUUCUCUAUGAUGAACAAGUUGUCAACCCAUAAUAUUGUUGUGGUAAAACCUGCUGUCAACACUGAGGCCAUGGACAAGGACCCAGACUUACUUCAGCUGCAGAGUGUACCUAUGUUCCUGCCAAUCAUGCGAGGGACCCUAAACCUGCCAGCUGUCCGUGAUCCAGAGGUUUUGGAGCGACUUGACCCAAGUGGACUACUGAACCUAUGCCUGCGAUAUCAACAGCACAUCGCCUUAUGCAGUGAGGCGGUCGCUUCAGAGCAAAUGCAGCUUGGUCACAGUGUUCGGGAUAUUGACUUUGAGGUAUCAAGACUGAUGACAGUCAUGACAGAACGUCAAAAGAAAUUUGCAAAGUAUGCAGAAAAACUUGCCAAAGUGCAUGAGCUGUCUCACCAGUUGAACCGUUGCCAUAUGGUGCUGAAUCAAACACUAGAGAGUAUGGAAACACUUAACAACACCCUUCCUGUCGAAGAGCGGCUAGAACCAUUUGUCUGGACAACUGGUUGAAUUGUCAGAUCUCAGAUAUCUCCCAGACACUCUGGAGUGCAGCUUAUACCAUAAUAGAAUUACUGGGUUUUUGGACUUUCUCCAUCAUCCAGCAUUCUAGAGACUACAAAACAAGACAUUUCGGAAACAGGAUCUGUGUCUGUCCUCAGGUGAGGGGGGAAGACACCUAUUCAGUUGGGUUCCAUAGAAAUAGCUAAACUCAGUCAUUGGACACCCCCUGUCAAAUUCACACAGCUAUUUAAUCACCUAAGACCAUGGUAAUUUGGUGGGAUAUAACAAGAAAAUAUGAAAUAAAAAUUGUGAUAGAGCAUGCACAUAUUUUGAACGAGGAUAGAAAGGCGGUAGAAAUUUGUGCUACAAACGUAGCCAACAAAACCAAGUGCAUGAGCACCAAUGCAAAGAAAUGGGGGAAAAAGAAUUGUGAAGACAUGUAUAGUGUACCACUAGCGCCAUCCGUGGACUAAAACCUGAACACUCAAGACUUGUGAAAAAUCUGUCACAUCAUACAGAUCUUAUCUGUGAGUUAGUAUAACCUUGCCUUUAGGCAUCAGACACCUACAGAUGACCUUAUAAGAUUAUGUUCUUACUGUACUGUUCCACUUAGGUCCUCACAUAAAGUGACAAAUUACAUAGUCAAAUCAUUUUCCAUGCAAAUCUUAGGGACUCCUUACAGUAUGAAUAUUAAAUGUUCUUUUGUAAUUUACAUGUACAUCAAAACUGUCAUUCAAAGUUCUGUUGAAACAUGUAGUGCAUGCUAUAUAAAUAAAUAAAUAAAUAACAAAGUAUUGUUG